GACGAACGCUGGCGGCGUGCUUAACACAUGCAAGUCGUACGGUAAGGCCCUUUCGGGGGUACACGAGUGGCGAACGGGUGAGUAACACGUGAGUAACCUGCCCACAACUUUGGGAUAACGCUAGGAAACUGGUGCUAAUACUGGAUAUGUGCUCCUGCUGCAUGGUGGGGGUUGGAAAGCUCCGGCGGUUGUGGAUGGACUCGCGGCCUAUAAGCUUGUUGGUGGGGUAGUGGCCUACCAAGGCGGCGACGGGUAGCCGGCCUGGGAGGGUGACCGGCCACAGUGGGACUGAGAUACGGCCCAGACUCCUACGGGAGGCAGCAGUGGGGAAGAUUGCACAAUGGGCGCAAGCCUGAUGCAGCAACGCCGCGUGCGGGAUGACGGCCUUCGGGUUGUAAACCGCUUUCAGCAGGGACGAAGCUUUUUGUGACGGUACCUGCAGAAGAAGCACCGGCUAACUACGUG
rnacentral:rRNA from 1 species